rnacentral:misc_RNA from 1 species
AUCGACGGGUCCCAAGAACAAAAUCUUAUGGAAAAAUAAGUUGAAAUCUGUUUUAUUAUUGAUUCGUAUUAAACAUGCAAAAAGCUACAUGGCAAUAUUUUUUAUUUAUUUAUUGGUCUUUUAUUUUUCUAAAUACUCAAGCGAACAUCAUCUUAUCUACAAUGUACUGCAGCGAACAAACAUGUAUUCACAUAUACGAGCUUGUUCUUUACACCCCGAAACCGCGCAUGCCGCGACCCAUCGUCAUUUACGUGUUUUUACUCGGCAAAGUCGAACAUUUUAGCAAGACAUCAAGAAUUCCUCGAGAAUUCGGUUUAAUAUCAUAAUUUCAGGUUUCGUGAGUAAUAAGUGACUGUAACAAUGUCUAGUGCAUCUAGAAAGAGAAAAUAUUAAAUUUCGCCCUUUUUUUGGAUAAAAUUAGUGACGAUCCAACUCCUUGUAGCAACGAGGACGAAGAAAUCUCUAAACAAGGUAAGUAUAUAUUAUUUUUUUUUCAUUAAGGUAAUUAGAAAAAUAGUUACUGGUGUUACUUUAUAAGUCUAGAAACUAAUUUACCAAAAUUAUCUAAAACGCGUAUCUUUUGGUCGUUUGUUAAUUUACAAUGUUGUUCUACAGAAAUCUAUAACCCAUGUAAUUGUUCUUUAAUAAUCAACAUAUUUCAUUUACUUAUAUUUUAUAGAGACUAAAAUACUUAAUUGUGGUGUAUUUAAUUUUACCCCAGUAGUUUCACAUAAGUUUUUAUUCGACAAAAAUCAGUUUAAAGUCAUUCAUUGCUUAAGCACAUACGAUCUUGUUGUACGAAAUUGUACCCAAAAAAUGUUGCUGUAUCGGAAUAAACGAUUUUGUUUGUCGAAUAAGUUUUAACAUGCGAGCAUGUUCUACUCAAAAGUAUCCAAUUUAACCUCUUUUUAAGAAAAAAUAUAUAACUAGAAUGUAAAUCAAUAGUUUUUAAAUAUAAUACCACACAAAUUAAAUACAUUUUUAUUUUCAUUUUGACAGAAUCUGCCGGUCAACGUAACACCAACACGUCUCCUUUACCGCCAGCGGCUUAGAAUAUCGACGUCGAUAUGGCAGAAAUUUGGCAUGAUGUUUUUGAUUAAAAGGUUCACACAAAUGUAUUAGGCUAUCAACACGAAGUUAACACCGAUAUUUUUCAGGCCAACUGCGAGCAUCUUGAUUCACCACCACCCAAUAGUCAAACCCCACAUCCUGACGAAGUGCUUACACCAUUAAAUAUAGAAGUAACCUCUAGUUUCAAUAACUCACCAACUGUUUACAUUGAAGAAUUUGAGAAUUUGAAGAUCCUAGAAUUUCUGCGCCAUAUAUAUACACAUAUGGUUUUAGCUACUCCAAUGCCUUCCCCCGUGAAUAUACACAUAAAAUGUAAUGACCCUUUUUGUCCCGAUCAUACUAGUUGGGUUGAUUCAAUUCGAUUGCUAAACAUUAGUGCAUCUAACUUAAUACCAGAAAUGACGCGAAAGCAAAGAUCAAAGAAACGCUUGGUACAUAAGCAAGACUGAUCUGACGUGAAAAGAAAAAGUUUGCUUGGAAAGAGCUAAAUAUCAAAGCGAGGUAAAUUUGUUGGUGAAAAAAUAAUGAGAAAGCCCUGUAGUUGUAGGAAUAAGUGUGUGGAUAAAAUAACAAAAGAACAAAGACUUGAAUGCUUCAAUAAACAACCACGCGUCAAUAUCGCGAAAUUGUAAAUAAAAACUAUAGAACUAGGAGCCAAAGAAUUUCGUUUCUGGUCAGAUAGUUUUGCUGGCCAAAAUUGGAAUAGAUUUGUCUUUUUUCAUAUUUGUAUGCAGCCAAAAAGUACAAGGCAUCAAUCACACAUCGACUUCUUGAAAAGGGAUAUACACAGAACAAGGGAGACAAUGUGCAUGCCCUUAUAGAGCGGUCCUCUUCUUCAAAAACUAUUUACACACUAGAUGAAUGGCGUUUACUUGUAAGAUGAUGUACAAAAACAAAAGGAAAACCGUAUGUAGUAAAAAAUAUGACACAAGAAAAUUUUCAUAAUUUUAAGGUUCACGUAAAUGACAAAUUGUGAAACAAGAAUUUUAGACAACAGAAAAUAUUGUGGACUAAGAUUAAGGAAGUUUUCGUUGAUAAAUCGGAACCGAAUAAACUGUAUUAUAUGUGUGAUUUAAACCAAAGAAUAUAGACACCCCCUCUCUUCCCGUGAGUGUCGUAAGAGGCGACUAAGGGAUAACAAGGUUCCACUACCACCUUGGAACUUAAGAAGCCGAC